GCAGGGCGUGGUGGCGGGUGCCUGUAGUCCCAGCUACUUGGGAGGCUGAGGCGGGAGAAUGGUGUGAACCCGGGAGGCGGAGCUUGCAGUGAGCCGAGAUCACGCCACUGCACUCCAGCCUGGGAGACACAGCGAGACUCCGUCUCAAAAAAAAAAAAAAAAAAGAGAGUUUCGCUCUGUCACCCAGGCUGGAGUGCAGUGGUGCGUUCUCAGCUCACUGCAAGCUCCGCCUCCCAGGUUCAUGCCAUUCUCCUGCCUCAG
rnacentral:SRP_RNA from 1 species